CAGCAGCCGCGGUAAUACGAAGGGUGCAAGCGUUAAUCGGAAUUACUGGGCGUAAAGCGUGCGUAGGCGGUGAGUUAAGUCUGCUGUGAAAUCCCCGGGCUCAACCUGGGAAUGGCAGUGGAUACUGGCUCGCUAGAGUGUGUCAGAGGAUGGUGGAAUUCCCGGUGUAGCGGUGAAAUGCGUAGAGAUCGGGAGGAACAUCAGUGGCGAAGGCGGCCAUCUGGGACAACACUGACGCUGAGGCACGAAAGCGUGGGGAGCAAACAGGAUCAGAUACCCCUGUAGUCCCUGUCUCUUAUAC
rnacentral:rRNA from 1 species